CUACGGGGGGCUGCAGUGGGGAAUAUUGGACAAUGGACCAAAAGUCUGGUCCAGCAAUUCUGUGUGUUUGAUGAAGGCCUUCGGGUUGUAAAGAACUUUAAGUAGGGAAGAAGAAAGUGACGGUACCUACAGAAUAAGCGACGGCUAAAUACGUGCCAGCAGCCGCGGUAAUACGUAUGUCGCAAGCGUUAUCCGGAAUUAUUGGGCAUAAAGCGCGUCUAGGCGGUUUACUAAGUCUGAUGUGAAAAUGCGGGGCUCAACUCCGUAUUGCGUUGGAAACUGGUAGACUAGAGUAUUGGAGAGGUAGGCGGAACUACAAGUGUAGAGGUGAAAUUCGUAGAUAUUUGUAGGAAUGCCAAUGACGAAGGUAGCUUACUGGACAAAUACUGACGCUGAAGCGCGAAAGCUAGGGGAGCAAACAGGAUUAGAUACCCUGGUAGUC
rnacentral:rRNA from 1 species